rnacentral:rRNA from 1 species
UGGGGAAUAUUGCGCAAUGGGCGAAAGCCUGACGCAGCAACGCCGCGUGAGUGAUGAAGGCCUUCGGGUCGUAAAGCUCUGUCGGAGGGAACGAAUGCUCCUGAAGUUAACAGCCUCAGGAGGUGACGGUACCCUCAAAGGAAGCACCGGCUAACUCUGUGCCAGCAGCCGCGGUAAUACAGAGGGUGCAAGCGUUGUUCGGAAUCAUUGGGCGUAAAGGGCGUGUAGGCGGUAUGUUAAGUCAUGUGUGAAAUCCCUCGGCUCAACCGGGGAACGACGCAUGAAACUGGCAAGCUAGAGUACCAAAGAGGGUGGUGGAAUUCCCGGUGUAGCAGUGAAAUGCGUAGAGAUCUGGAGGAACACCGAUGGCGAAGGCAGCCCCCUGGGCUAACACUGACGCUCAUGCACGAAAGCGUGGGGAGCAAACAGGAUUAGAUACCCGAGUAGUCCCUGAGCGGGCUGGCAAGGCGCAU